rnacentral:rRNA from 1 species
UACGUAGGGUGCAGGCGUUAAUCGGAAUUACUGGGCGUAAAGAGCUCGUAGGUGGUUUGUCGCGUUGUCCGUGAAAACUCACAGCUCAACUGUGGGCGUGCGGGCGAUACGGGCAGACUGGAGUACUGCAGGGGAGACUGGAAUUCCUGGUGUAGCGGUGGAAUGCGCAGAUAUCAGGAGGAACACCGGUGGCGAAGGCGGGUCUCUGGGCAGUAACUGACGCUGAGGAGCGAAAGCGUGGGGAGCGAACAGGA